rnacentral:rRNA from 1 species
AAAGGUAAGCUACUAAGAGCGAAUGGUGGAUGCCUUGACUGGUAAAGGCGAUGAAGGACGUACUAGACUGCGAUAAGCUACGGGGAGCUGUCAAGAAGCUUUGAUCCGUAGAUUUCCGAAUGGGGCAACCCAAUGUAUAGAGAUAUACAUUACCUAUAUAGGAGCGAACGAGGGGAAUUGAAACAUCUUAGUACCCUCAGGAAAAGAAAUCAAUAGAGAUUGCGUCAGUAGCGGCGAGCGAAAGCGCAAGAGGGCAAACCCAGUGCUUGCAC